rnacentral:rRNA from 1 species
UACGUAGGGGGCAAGCGUUGUCCGGAUUUAUUGGGCGUAAAGAGCGUGUAGGCGGCUAGAUAGGUCCGUUGUGAAAACUCGAGGCUCAACCUCGAGACGUCGAUGGAAACCAUCUGGCUAGAGUCCGGAAGAGGAGAGUGGAAUUCCUGGUGUAGCGGUGAAAUGCGCAGAUAUCAGGAAGAACACCGGUGGCGAAGGCGGGUCUCUGGACAGUUCCUGACGCUGAGGCACGAAGGUCAGGGGAGCAAACGGG